ACUUGAAUAAUUGAACAAAUGGUCGUCGUUUAUGUUUGAUUUUUUGCUUUAUAUAAGUGCUAAUGCAUUUGAUUUUGAAGACGCUAAUCGUUUUGCUUUGAUUUUGUGUCGCAGUACGAUUUAUAACGUUGUCGAAGACACAGCAACAGGUUGAUGCGACUCAGUGUGCCGAGAGCUAAUUCAUUGAACAAAUACGACUAACUUAACGGAAAAUGGGCAAAGGAAAGGGAUCAAAUCCAACCGGUGGCAACCCAAAUCACGCUCCACCCGAGAAAAGCGGAAAAGGUGGUAAUCAAGGUGGCAAUAAAGGAAAUCAAAACAAAGGCGGUGGAGGUGGAGGCAACAAAAGCGGCGGUGGCGGAGGCGGAAAGAAAGGCGGCAAAAAAUGAUCUACAAUAAUCUACUGGAGUUGUUGUUCUUGCACGGAUUUUCUUCUUACGAGCGAAUAAAUGGGUCUUUUCAAAGUCGUCAUCAUCAAAUGCAUUAAAACAAUUUCAAAAAUUUAUAUAAAUAAAAUGGAAAGAGAUGAAAAUAAAACGAAA